UGUCAGAAAACAUCUCUGAACCAUAUGACUAAUUUCAAAACAAUUUAUUCUUGAGAGGAGGCACCACAGUUAAAGACAGUGUUUUGAAGAAUUUUGAACUUCCUGCUCACAAACUACAUACUUCUCCAGUUAGUCUGACAGGCUAUCAAUGAGAAUGCGGCAUUACAGGACACCACUGAAAACUAUACCACUAAAAACUGAUUAUUGCUGCAGUCAGAAG